AUGGCGGAGGAGAGAAAAAAGGUGGGAAGGAGAUAGUGAAACAUUAGGACCAUCCACAGUUCACCUCCAACUCAGACGGGGACUGCAUUAUGAUGGAUGUCACUCCAGCAGUUCACGUAUGAUGCCAAUUGUGACUAUGUGAUGAGGGAUGUCGCUCUUAUCCUGAAAAAGGCCACAUCUGUUUAUGGACCAUCAUAAGUGUAAAGCCUGGUAAGGCUGGAUUUGUGGGAAGGGGCAUGGAUUUAAAGGGCAGCGUUACCUCUGGGCUGGGCGUUCGUCGGCAGCAUGCUAGGUUGCCAGGUUACCAGUUUUCUAGGUUACGACACUACGCAGGACUUCCGUAGUGUCUAGAGAAGAACACGGCAUGCGGCACUUACAGGUGUUGGCAAUCUUGUGCAGUGAAAGUACCCGGUGUCAAGGCAGAAGCUAGACGAUUGCUGAUCUUUGCAUCAG